rnacentral:rRNA from 1 species
CUGCUGCCUCCCGUAGGAGUUUGGGCCGUGUCUCAGUCCCAAUGUGGCCGAUCACCCUCUCAGGUCGGCUACUGAUCGUCGCCUUGGUGAGCCGUUACCUCACCAACCAGCUAAUCAGACGCGGGUCCAUCUUACACCGAUAAAAUCUUUUCCGUCCGGGCCAUGUGACCCUAGCGGGUUAUGCGGUAUUAGCAGUCAUUUCUAACUGUUAUCCCCCUGUGUAAGGUAGGUUACCCACGCGUUACUCACCCGUCCGCCG